rfam:Caloramator australicus RC3, WGS project CAKP01000000 data, contig: 180
AAUAUGCGAUGAAGCAAGAGGUUGCCGGACUUCGGGGAAUUCUUGCUGAGUAUGUCUGAUCAAAGAAUCGGGCGACAA